GGCAGUUCCCGGGUGACGCACCCCGGAAUUGGGCUCCCUCCUCUUUGGUUCCAGGUGUGUCAUCCAAGAACUGCA
rfam:Myotis lucifugus cont2.21925, whole genome shotgun sequence.